rnacentral:rRNA from 1 species
UACGUAGGGUGCAAGCGUUGUCCGGAAUUAUUGGGCGUAAAGAGCUCGUAGGCGGUUUGUCGCGUCUGCUGUGAAAUCCCGAGGCUCAACCUCGGGCCUGCAGUGGGUACGGGCAGACUGGAGUGCGGUAGGGGAGAAUGGAAUUCCUGGUGUAGCGGUGGAAUGCGCAGAUAUCAGGAGGAACACCGGUGGCGAAGGCGGGAUCCUGGGCCAGUACUGACGCUGAGGAGCGAAAGCGUGGGGAGCAAACAGG